rnacentral:rRNA from 1 species
AUUGAACGCUGGCGGCAUGCCUUACACAUGCAAGUCGAGCGGCAGCGCGGGGGCGAACCCUCGGCGGCGAGCGGCGCACGGGUGAGUAAUACAUCGGAACGUGUCCUUUCGUGGGGAGUAACCAGUCGAAGACUGGCUAAUACCGCAUGAGAUCUCACGAUGAAAGCGGGGGACCGCAAGGCCUCGCGCGAUUGGAGCGGCCGAUGUCGGAUUAGCUAGNGGUCGGGGUAAAGGACCCACCAAGGCGACGAUCCGUAGCUGGUUUGUAGAGAACGACCAGCCACACAGGGACUGAGACACGG